UCGUCAUCAGAGGAGAAAAAGUACAUCAUUUUAUUUGAUUGAAUCAUAUAAUAUAAUUAAUAAAAAAAUAAAUAUUUAAUAUAACUUAAUUUUUUCUCAAUUUUUUUGAUUAAAAUAUUAUUUUAUUUUAUUUUAUUCAUGCUUGACUAAGAUAUUAAUAACAGAAUAUCAUGACCAUCAACAAAAUAUUAUAAAAAAUAAUAAAAUAUCAU
rnacentral:lncRNA from 1 species